rnacentral:rRNA from 1 species
ACAGGUUGAUAUUCCUGUACCAGUUGCUUUUGUUUGAGCGAUGGAGGGACGCAGGAGGCUAAGGAAUGCACACGAUCGGAAAUGUGUGUCCAAGCAGCAAGUCUGAGAACGAGUGAAAUGCUUUUUCUCUCAAGGACAAGCUGUGAUGGGGAGCGAAAUUUAGUAGCGAAGUUCCUGAUGUCACACUGCCAAGAAAAGCUUCUAGUGAGAAAGUAACUGCCCGUACCGCAAACCGACACAGGUAGUUGAGGAGAGAAUCCUAAGGUGUGCGAGAGAACUCUCGUUAGGGAACUCGGCAAAAUGACCCCGUAACUUCGGGAGAAGGGGUGCUGACCGCAAGGUCAGCCGCAGUGAAUAGGCCCAAGCGACUGUUUAUCAAAAACACAGGUCUCUGCAAAAUCGAAAGAUGACGUAUAGGGGCUGACGCCUGCCCGGUGCUGGAAGGUUAAGAGGAGAGGUUAGCGCAAGCGAAGCUUUGAAUUGAAGCCCCAGUAAACGGCGGCCGUAACGAUAACGGUCCUAAGGUAGCGAAAUUCCUUGUCGGGUAAGUUCCGACCCGCACGAAAGGCGUAACGAUUUGGGCACUGUCUCAACGAGAGACUCGGUGAAAUUAUAGUACCAGUGAAGAUGCUGGUUAGCCGCGACAGGACGGAAAGACCCCAUGGAGCUUUACUGCAGUUUGAUAUUGUGUGUUUGUAUCACAUGUACAGGAUAGGUAGGAGCCGAAGAUACCGGGACGCCAGUCUCGGAGGAGGCAACGGUGGGAUACUACCCUUGUGAUAUGACCACUCUAACCCGCUGCUCUUAGCGAGCAGGGAGACAGUGUCAGACGGGCAGUUUGACUGGGGCGGUCGCCUCCAAAAAUGUAACGGAGGCGCCCAAAGGUUCCCUCAGAAUGGUUGGAAAUCAUUCGUAGAGUGUAAAGGCAGAAGGGAGCUUGACUGCGAGACCUACAAGUCGAGCAGGGACGAAAGUCGGGCUUAGUGAUCCGGUGGUUCCGCAUGGAAGGGCCAUCGCUCAACGGAUAAAAGCUACCCUGGGGAUAACAGGCUUAUCUCCCCCAAGAGUUCACAUCGACGGGGAGGUUUGGCACCUCGAUGUCGGCUCAUCGCAUCCUGGGGCUGUAGUCGGUCCCAAGGGUUGGGCUGUUCGCCCAUUAAAGCGGUACGCGAGCUGGGUUCAGAACGUCGUGAGACAGUUCGGUCCCUAUCCGUCGCGGGCGUUGGAAAUUUGAGAGGAGCUGUCCUUAGUACGAGAGGACCGGGAUGGACACACCGCUGGUGUACCAGUUGUUCUGCCAAGAGCAUCGCUGGGUAGCUAUGUGUGGACGGGAUAAACGCUGAAAGCAUCUAAGCGUGAAGCCCCCCUCAAGAUGAGAUUUCCCAUCACUUUAAGUGAGUAAGACCCCUGAGAGAUGAUCAGGUAGAUAGGUUGGGAGUGGAAGUACAGCGAUGUAUGGAGCGGACCAAUACUAAUCGGUCGAGGACUUAACC